UACGUAGGGGGCGAGCGUUGUCCGGAGUUACUGGGCGUAAAGGGCAUGCAGGCGGUCGGACGCGUUUCGGGUGACAGCGGGUGGCUUAACUCCCCGAGUGGUCGAAAGACGGUUUGACUUGAGGACGCGAGAGGGACACGGAAUUCCGGGUGGAGUGGUGAAAUGCGUAGAGAUCCGGAGGAACACCGAAGGCGAAGGCAGUGUCCUGGCGCGUAACUGACGCUGAGGUGCGAAAGCCAGGGGAGCGAACGGG
rnacentral:rRNA from 1 species